rnacentral:rRNA from 1 species
GAUGAACGCUGGCGGCGUGCCUAACACAUGCAAGUCGAGCGAAGCACUUACUUUAGAUUUCUUCGGAAUGACGAAGUUUGUGACUGAGCGGCGGACGGGUGAGUAACGCGUGGGCAACCUGCCCUGUACAGGGGGAUAACAGUUAGAAAUGACUGCUAAUACCGCAUAAGCCCACAGCUUCGCAUGAAGCAGUGGGAAAAACUCCGGUGGUACAGGAUGGGCCCGCGUCUGAUUAGCUAGUUGGUAAGGUAACGGCUUACCAAGGCGACGAUCAGUAGCCGACCUGAGAGGGUGACCGGCCACAUUGGGACUGAGACACGGCCCAAACUACUACGGGAGGCAGCAGUGGGGAAUAUUGCACAAUGGGGGAAACCCUGAUGCAGCGACGCCGCGUGAGCGAUGAAGUAUUUCGGUAUGUAAAGCUCUAUCAGCAGGGAAGAAAGUGACGGUACCUGACUAAGAAGCCCCGGCUAACUACGUG